ACAACAUUUGGAUCGUCGGUCUACCAAACAAUAUCACCCGCUCGGUGAAAGAUUUACUUUCGUAGU
rnacentral:pre_miRNA from 1 species